CCUACGGGUGGCAGCAGUGAGGAAUAUUGGUCAAUGGGCGGAAGCCUGACCCAGCCAAGUCGCGUGAGGGAUUAAGGCCCUGCGGGUCGUAAACCUCUUUUGCCGGGGAGCAGUGGUCCGGACGUGUCCGGGCCGGGAGAGUACCCGGAGAAAAAGCAUCGGCUAACUCCGUGCCAGCAGCCGCGGUAAUACGUAGGGUGCGAGCGUUAAUCGGAAUUACUGGGCGUAAAGGGUGCGCAGGCGGCUACAUAAGUCAGAUGUGAAAUCCCCGGGCUUAACCUGGGAACUGCGUUUGAAACUAGGUGGCUAGAGUACAGCAGAGGGGGGUGGAACUCCAUGUGUAGCAGUGAAAUGCGUAGAUAUAUGGAAGAACAUCGAUGGCGAAGGCAGCCCCCUGGGUUGAUACUGACGCUCAUGCACGAAAGCGUGGGGAGCAAACAGGAUUAGAUACCCGAGUAGUC
rnacentral:rRNA from 1 species